rnacentral:rRNA from 1 species
UGAGGAACAUGACCUUCGGCGGGGGAUAGCCGGCCCAACGGCCGGGUAAUACCGCGUACGACCACAUGGGGACAUCCCUGAGUGGUGAAAGCAGCAAUGCGCCGAUGGGGUGCCUCGCGGCCUAUCAGCUAGUUGGUGAGGUAACGGCUCACCAAGGCAACGGACGGGUAGCUGGUCUGAGAGGAUGGCCAGCCACAGUUGGGACUGAGACACGGCCCAGACCUCCGUAGGGACGG